CGGCAUGGCGCAGCUUACACAUGCAGUCGAGCGGGGAAAGGUAGCUUGCUACCUAGACCUAGCGGCGGACGGGUGAGUAAUGCUUAGGAAUCUGCCUAUUAGUGGGGGACAACAUUCCGAAAGGAAUGCUAAUACCGCAUACGCCCUACGGGGGAAAGCAGGGGAUCUUCGGACCUUGCGCUAAUAGAUGAGCCUAAGUCAGAUUAGCUAGUUGGUGGGGUAAAGGCCUACCAAGGCGACGAUCUGUAGCGGGUCUGAGAGGAUGAUCCGCCACACCUUGGGAACUKAGGAACACUGGMUCCAGACUCCUACCGGGAGGUCAGCAGUGGGSAAUAUYGRMCAWUGGGCGCAAGCCUGAUCCAGCCAUGCCGCGUGGUGUGAWGAAGGCCUUUUGGKUGUAAAGCACUUUAAGCGAGGAGGAGGCUACYGAGAUUAAUACUCUUGGAUAGUGGACGUUACUCGCAGAAUAAGCACCGGCUAACUCUGUGCCAGCAGCCGCGGUAAUACAGAGGGUGCGAGCGUUAAUCGGAUUUACUGGGCGUAAAGCGUGCGUAGGCGGCUUUUUAAGUCGGAUGUGAAAUCCCUGAGCUUAACUUAGGAAUUGCAUUCGAUACUGGGAAGCUAGAGUAUGGGAGAGGAUGGUAGAAUUCCAGGUGUAGCGGUGAAAUGCGUAGAGAUCUGGAGGAAUACCGAUGGCGAAGGCAGCCAUCUGGCCUAAUACUGACGCUGAGGUACGAAAGCAUGGGGAGCAAACAGGAUUAGAUACCCUGGUAGUCCAUGCCGUAAACGAUGUCUACUAGCCGUUGGGGCCUUUGAGGCUUUAGUGGCGCAGCUAACGCGAUAAGUAGACCGCCUGGGGAGUACGGUCGCAAGACUAAAACUCAAAUGAAUUGACGGGGGCCCGCACAAGCGGUGGAGCAUGUGGUUUAAUUCGAUGCAACGCGAAGAACCUUACCUGGUCUUGACAUAGUAAGAACUUUCCAGAGAUGGAUUGGUGCCCUUCGGGAACUUACAUACAGGUGCUGCAUGGCUGUCGUCAGCUCGUGUCGUGAGAUGUUGGGUUAAGUCCCGCAACGAGCGCAACCCUUUUCCUUAUUUGCCAGCGGGYUAAGCCGGSAACUUUAAGGAUACUGCCAGUGACAAACUGGAGGAAGGCGGGGACGACGUYMAGUCAUCAUGGCCCUUACGACCAGGGCUACACACGUGCUACAAUGGUCGGUACAAAGGGUUGCUACCUAGCGAUAGGAUGCUAAUCUCAAAAAGCCGAUCGUAGUCCGGAUUGGAGUCUGCAACUCGACUCCAUGAAGUCGGAAUCGCUAGUAAUCGCGGAUCAGAAUGCCGCGGUGAAUACGUUCCCGGGCCUUGUACACACCGCCCGUCACACCAUGGGAAUUUGUUGCACCAGAAGUAGGUAGUCUAACCGCAAGGAGGACGCUACCACGUUACCCAUUGGC
rnacentral:rRNA from 1 species